UGUUGGAAUUGCCGCCGCUGCUCCGUUUCCAUAGGUCCCCUAAUUACAUUUCGGUUAUUAUAUGUGCGAUUAGAGUUGCUGUGCUUGCCGAGAGUUGUCACUGAAGCUGUUGGGCCCGCCGUGGUUGCACCCAGGUUGCUGCUGCGUCGCCGGAGACCACAGCUAAAGCCUCUGUCUUCUUGGGUUUCUGUUGCCGCGAGUUACUUAGUUAUACGUCGUCGCCAAAACCAGGCCAGAUUUACUGGUAACUGUUUCUUCCUUUCUUGAAUUUGUUCUGCUUCUAUUUUGUUCCACUAUUCUUAUUAUUGGUGGUGUCUCUGCUGCCUUAAUUGCUCG